AACGAACGCUGGCGGCGUGCCUAACACAUGCAAGUCGAGCGAGAAAGUCCCGGCAACGGGAUGAGUACAGCGGCGAACGGGUGAGUAACGCGUGGGUAAUCUACCCUCUAGCUCGGGAUAACCUGCCGAAAGGUGGGCUAAUACCGGACGAUGUUCCCGUGGGGAUCCUGCGGGAAGCAAAGGGGGCGAGCGGAAGCAGCUCUCACUGGAGGAGGAGCCUGCGUCCGAUUAGCUAGGUGGUGGGGUAAUGGCCUACCAAGGCGACGAUCGGUAGCCGGCCUGAGAGGGCGACCGGCCACACUGGAACUGAGCCACGGUCCAGACUCCUACGGGAGGCAGCAGUGGGGAAUCUUGCGCAAUGGGCGAAAGCCUGACGCAGCGACGCCGCGUGGGCGAUGAAGGCCUUCGGGUCGUAAAGCCCUGUCGGGUGGGACGAAUCUCCUGGUGGCGAAUAACCACCGGGCUUGACGGUACCACCGAAGGAAGCCCCGGCUAACUACGUGCCAGCCGCCGCCGUAA
rnacentral:rRNA from 1 species